GACCUCUCCGGUGGCCUAAUGGUUAGAGCGUCUGUCUCGGAUGCGGAAGUUCGCGGGUUUAAACCCCAGCCGAGUUA